CACCUUUUUUGAGGAAUAUUGGUCAAUGGGCGAGAGCCUGAACCAGCCAAAUCGCGUGAAGGAUGGAGGUAUUAUGUAUUGUAAACUUCUUUUGUCAGGGAAUAAAGUGCAUCACGUGUGGUGUUUUGUAAGUACCUGAAGAAUAAGGAUCGGCUAACUCCGUGCCAGCAGCCGCGGUAAUACGGAGGAUCCAAGCGUUAUCCGGAUUUAUUGGGUUUAAAGGGUGCGUAGGCGGGCUUGUAAGUCAGCGGUGAAAGUUCUCGGCUCAACCGAGGAAUUGCCGUUGAAACUGUAGGCCUUGAGUAUAGAUGAGGUGGGCGGAAUUCGUAGUGUAGCGGUGAAAUGCUUAAAUAUUACGAAAAACCCCAAUUGCGAACGCCGCUCACUGGGCUAUAACUGACGCUGAGGCAAGGCAUAUGACAAAGGAAUUGACGGGGGCCCGCACAAGCGGAGGAACAUGUGGUUUUAAUUCGAUGAUACGCGAGGAACCUUACCCGGGCUUGAAUUGCAUUUGAAUAAGCAGGAAACUGUUUAGCCAGCAAUGGCAAAUGUGAAGGUGCUGCAUGGUUGUCGUCAGCUCGUGCCGUGAGGUGUCGGCUUAAGUGCCAUAACGAGCGCAACCCUCAUCAUUAGUUACUAACAGGUCAUGCUGAGGACUCUAGUGAGACUGCCAGCGUAAGCUGUGAGGAAGGUGGGGAUGACGUCAAAUCAGCACGGCCCUUACGUCCGGGGCGACACACGUGUUACAAUGGGGGGGACAGCAGGCAGCUACACGGCGACGUGAUGCCAAUCCCUAAACCCCCUCUCAGUUCGGAUCGAAGUCUGCAACCCGACUUCAUGAAGCUGGAUUCGCUUGUAAUACGGGCAUCAGCCAUGGCGCGGUGAAUACGUUCCCGGGCCUUGUACACACC
rnacentral:rRNA from 1 species